rnacentral:rRNA from 1 species
CCUACGGGAGGCAGCAGUCUAGAAAUUUGGGCAAUGGGCGAAAGCCUGACCCAGCGACGCCGCGUGGAGGAUGAAGUCUUUCGGGAUGUAAACUCCUGUCAGAGGGGACGAUGGUCCGUCUUUGACGGAUUGACGGUACUCUCAAAGGAAGCACCGGCUAACUACGUGCCAGCAGCCGCGGUAAAACGUAGGGUGCAAGCGUUGUCCGGAUUCACUGGGCGUAAAGGGUGUGCAGGCGGACUGGAAAGUCUUCAGUGAAAGCCUAUGGCUUAACCAUAGAACUGCUAAAGAUACUUCCAGCCUUGGGAAUAGGAAAGGAGGAUGGAACUUUCGGUGUAGCGGUAGAAUGCGUGGAUAUCGAAAGGAACACCAAUGGCGAAGGCAGUCCUCUGGAAUAUUUCCGACGCUGAAACACGAAAGCUGGGGGAGCAAACAGGAUUAGAUACCCUGGUAGUCCCAGCCCUAAACGAUGUACAUUUGGUGUUGCUCAUUUUGGGCAGUGCCGAAGCUAACGCGAUAAAUGUACCGCCUGGGGACUACGGCCGCAAGGUUGAAACUCAAAGGAAUUGACGG